rnacentral:rRNA from 1 species
CCCGGGAUAGCCCAGGGAAACCUGGAUUAAUACCGGAUGAGACGGGACCCGCGAUGGCGGGACCCGGGAAAGGCGCUGCGGCGCCGCCGGGGGAUGAGUCUGCGUCCCAUUAGCUAGACGGCGGGGUAACGGCCCACCGUGGCGACGAUGGGUAGCCGGCCUGAGAGGGUGGACGGCCACAUUGGAACUGAGACACGGUCCAGACUCCUACGGGAGGCAGCAGCUAAGAAUCUUCCGCAAUGGGCGAAAGCCUGACGGAGCGACGCCGCGUGAACGAAGAAGGCCGUGAGGUUGUAAAGUUCUUUUCGGGAGGGGGGAACAACCGUGGCAGGGAAUGGCCGCGGGAUGACGUGAAUCCCGGAAUAAGCCCCGGCUAACUACGUGCCAGCAGCUGC